UCAAAGCGUUUGCCAUCUUGAUUCGGACUG
rnacentral:piRNA from 1 species